GACGAACGCUGGCGGCGUGCCUAAUACAUGCAAGUCGAACGCAGUGGGGACGGGUGAGUAACACGUGGGUAACCUCCCAUCAGAGGGGAUAACACUUGGCAACAGGUGCUAAACCGAUACUGAUGGAUGGACCCGCGGGGCAUUAGCUAGUUGGUGGGGUAAAGGCUCACCUAGGCGACGAUCUCUAGCUGGUCUGAGAGGAUGAUCAGCCACACUGGGACUGAGACACGGCCCAGACUCCUACGGGAGGCAGCAGUGGGGAAUAUUGCACAAUGGGCGCAAGCCUGAUCGAGCCAUGCCGCGUGUAUGAAGAAGGCCUUCGGGUUGUAAAGUACUUUUAGCGGGGAGGCGUUACCCGCAGAAGAAGCACCGGCUAACUCCGUGCCAGCAGCCGCGGUAAUUC
rnacentral:rRNA from 1 species